rnacentral:rRNA from 1 species
UACGAAGGGUGCAAGCGUUACUCGGAAUUACUGGGCGUAAAGCGUGCGUAGGUGGUGGUUUAAGUCCGUUGUGAAAGCCCUGGGCUCAACCUGAGAAUUGCAGUGGAUACUGGGUCACUAGAAUGUGGUAGAGGGUAGCGGAAUUCCUGGUGUAGCAGUGAAAUGCGUAGAGAUCAGGAGGAACAUCCGUGGCGAAGGCGGCUACCUGGACCAACAUUGACACUGAGGCACGAAAGCGUGGGGAGCAAACAGG